GCGGCAGGCUUAACACAUGCAAGUCGAGGGGUAACAGGGAUUGCUUGCAAUCCGCUGACGACCGGCGCACGGGUGCGUAACGCGUAUGCAACCUACCUUUUACAAGGGGAUAGCCCAGAGAAAUUUGGAAUAAUACCCUAUACGAUCAUUAAUUGGCAUCAAUUAAUGAAGAAAACUCCGGUGGUAAAAGAUGGGCAUGCGUCCUAUUAGUUAGUUGGUAAGGUAACGGCUUACCAAGACUUCGAUAGGUAGGGGUCCUGAGAGGGAGAUCCCCCACACUGGUACUGAGACACGGACCAGACUCCUACGGGAGGCAGCAGUGAGGAAUAUUGGACAAUGGAGGCAACUCUGAUCCAGCCAUGCCGCGUGCAGGAAGACGGCCCUACGGGUUGUAAACUGCUUUUAUACAGGAAGAACUAUAUCUACGUGUAGAUAUUUGACGGUACUGUACGAAUAAGGAUCGGCUAACUCCGUGCC
rnacentral:rRNA from 1 species